rnacentral:rRNA from 1 species
UACGGAGGGUCCAAGCGUUAUCCGGAAUCAUUGGGUUUAAAGGGUCCGUAGGCGGUUUUGUAAGUCAGUGGUGAGAGCCCAUCGCUCAACGGUGGAACGGCCAUUGAUACUGCAAGACUUGAAUUAUUGUGAAGUAACUAGAAUAUGUAGUGUAGCGGUGAAAUGCUUAGAGAUUACAUGGAAUACCAAUUGCGAAGGCAGGUUACUAACAAUAUAUUGACGCUGAUGGACGAAAGCGUGGGUAGCGAACAGG